CUGCAGCUCAAGUGGUAGCCGCUAUUAUUGGGCCUAAAACGUUCGUAGCCGGUUUAGUAAAUGCUUGGGUAAAUUGUGUCGCUUAACGAUACGAAUACCGGGUAGACUGCUAAACUUGGGACCGGGAGAGGCUAGAGGUACUCCUGGGGUAGAGGUGAAAUUCUGUAAUCCUGGGGGGACCACCAGUGGCGAAGGCGUCUAGCUAGAACGGGUCUGACGGUGAGGGACGAAGCCCUGGGGCGCAAAACGGAUUAGAUACCCGAGUAGUCC
rnacentral:rRNA from 1 species